GAGCCACAAUUGACACCACCUGCAGCUCAUCAUCAGGCUUGUUGUCCUGCUCUACUCCCAGCUAUUUAAGGACAAGCAGGAGCUCCAGUCUUUGCCAGAUUGUCUCACAAUUCUGCGUGCACAUUGACAUCCACCCCUUGGAACUUAUUAGCAGCUCUGGACCGAGACAUCUCCUUCCACCACCUCACCACCUAAAGUUGUACCUGCCUGCUCGCCCUGCCAUUCAUCCAACACUUCUCCCACAACUGGAGAUCCUUCACUGGCGUACCCCCUCCGCCGUCAUUUCCCCACAGGAACACAGAACAGCAUCCCGGACCUGGACCAAGCCUUUCACACUUAUCAAUAAACACUGUUAUUUUCUCC